GAUGAACGCUGGCGGCGUGCCUAAUACAUGCAAGUCGAACGCUGGAAAUCUAGCUUGCUAGAUUGAAGGAGUGGCGAACGGGUGAGUAAUACAUAAGCAACCUACCCACGAAGACUGGGAUAAUCUCUGGAAACGGGGACUAAUACCGGAUAGGUAAUCGGAAGGCAUCCUCUGAUUAUUAAAGGUUAAAAACACUGGUGGAUGGGCUUAUGGCGCAUUAGUUAGUUGGUGAGGUAACGGCCCACCAAGACGAUGAUGCGUAGCCGGCCUGAGAGGGUGAACGGCCACAUUGGGACUGAGACACGGCCCAGACUCCUACGGGAGGCAGCAGUAGGGAAUUUUCGGCAAUGGGGGAAACCCUGACCGAGCAACGCCGCGUGAGUGAUGACGGCCUUCGGGUUGUAAAGCUCUGUUGUAAGGGAAGAACGGUAGAUAGAGAAUAUCUAAAUGACGGUACCUUACCAGAAAGCCACGGCUAACUACGUG
rnacentral:rRNA from 1 species